GAUGAAGAACGUAGUGAAAUGCGAUAAGUAAUGUGAAUUGCAGAAUUCAGUGAAUCAUCGAAUCUUUGAACGCACAUUGCGCCCCUUGGUAUUCCGAGGGGCAUGCCUGUUCGAGCGUCAUUAUCACCCCUCAAGCUCAGCUUGGUGUUGGGGCCUGCCGUCAAGGCAGCCCUUAAAAUCAGUGGCGGCGCCAUCUGGCUCUAAGCGUAGUAAUACUUCUCGCUACAGGGGCCCGGUGGUGUCUUGCCAGAACCCCUCAUUUUUUAUGAUUGACCUCGGAUCAGGUAGGGAUACCCGCUGAACUUAAGCAUAUCAAUAAGCGGAGGA
rnacentral:misc_RNA from 1 species